UGAUCUUUCUAAUUUUAAUUCCAAAUUAGAGAUUUAACCCCAUUUCACGGUCCACUAAACAUAGAAAAUGAUAGUGCGGAUGGGGCAUCCGUGUACUGGGGACACAUUCUUGUUAGCUAGUAGUUUUAUGCAUUUAUAUUUUUUUAUAUUUCAUCUUUUGGAUUUCGAAAGAGGGCAUUUGCAAGUCUUUUAAGAUGGCUAAUGUAACUACAAACACUAAUUAGACAUCAGAGAUCAUCAGAGGUGAACAAAAUAGACUCCCGAAUUAUUAUCAGAUUCAGUAUAGUUUUGUUUUAACUUAUCAAUACUGAUCAGGCAAACAGUAGCUCAAAGAUAUCAGUAUAUAAUACGGUAGACAAAUGAUAUCACUUGAAAAGCAUAAUUUUAAAACUUAUUAUUUUAUAAUAUAAAGAUUUUAUUCUAUUUUCUUUUAUGACAGAAAUGUUUUACAAAAUAACAAUAUACUCGACUUGUAUUAAUAGUCUGUGAUUAAAAGUAAAUGUAGGACAGAAAGUCAUAGGACAAAAAUCCAUAGACAAAAAGUCACAAUCCUGCUGCUUUUUAAGGAAGAUUGUAUUUUUCUUUAAUUUUUUGUAUGUAAUAUCUUUGUAGACCAAAUUUUAAGUGAUAAUGAUAUUGUUAGGAAACAUUCUCUCAAAGUAGCUUGGUACACAACUGGAUACAUGGUACCAAGAAAUACGUCCCUCAUAUUGUUAACAUUUGAUAAAUUCGGCAUAUCAAGGCUAAUGAGCAAUUUUCUUAUACAAUAAAAUGGAUCAAAAGAAAUUAGUUCAAGAAUAUGCUCUUUUUCAUUAAACAUGUUAAAACAAAAGUACCAAGCAGAUAGUUGUGACUUUUUGUCGGAGUUCAAUGCUAUCUUUCUUAUCCUAUAGAAUGAUAUAUUGAUAUGAUUUUAACCUUUGCUUAUUCAAAUUUUAUAUAAAAUUUAUACAUACAAGUUUUUAUUUUAGCUCUAUAUCUAAAUAUACUAUUAUCAAUGUAGCAUUUUAGGUCAAAAUACAUUACUUUUUACAUACAGAGUAAAGUACAAAACAUAAAUAUUCAUAAGCUCCUUUUUGUAGGUUAAAGGUAAAAUCAUAAAUUGUUCCCUUUUCAUUUCAAAUUGCACAUUUAAAACAUUAAUGUCAAAUAUAUGGAGUAAGAAGGUUGUCAAAAAACAAAUAUUUGACCUCACUUUACAAAAUGAUCAUUAUCCCAGAAUGAGUAUUGUGAUAGAUUAUGGUUACUUGGUGUUGCGUUUUUAAGUUCUUACAUUAUUCAAUAUCAAAAGGUGUUUUUAUGAUAUGUUUACAAAUAUACAGUGCAACCUGACAAAACCGAAUCCUGUAUAUACCAAACAUGUUCUAAAGCACUGUCAUUUCAAAUUGUAUGCGUUGCGAACCUGAUAAAACCGAACAUCGGCCAAAACCGUAUACAUAAUCUUAAGUCCUGAAGAGGUUCGGUUUAAACGGGUUUCACUGUAAUAGCGUUCUGCUAUGGAUUAACAUUUUACAAGAAACCAUUCAUUGGUAUUUAUCUCAACCUCAAUAGUUCAUAAAAGAAUACAAAACUUUUAAAUAGUUGAAGGGAUUCCAGUGUCACUCAGAUGUUUUGAUAUGUGAUAACCAUUUGAAAAAUAUUUUAGAAAUAAGCCUUCAUUUGACAAAAUUGAGACCAAAAGCAUGAAAGACAAAUAACAACAACAACACACGUUUUUUAGAGAAAAUGAAACCAAAUACAGUUGCUACUGGUUUUAUAAAGACUUGUAUAUUUAUGAAUUUUAUGUAAGUGUAUCGUUGAAGAACUUAUAUUUUGUUGAAGUAUAUAACACAUAUACAUUUAUAUAUACAUUCUCAACAUUUAUGAGACC
rnacentral:lncRNA from 1 species